AGGAGGGGGGGUGUGACUGAAUGGGAGCGAAAAAGCCUCCUCGGGACGGCGCGGAGGCUGAACCCGGCUUGCUGAGCCUCUUCUCUCGGCUGGGCCCAGUUCCCCGAGCAGCCGGGGAGACCGAGACCCCCCCUCCCCCUCCGGCUGGCAGGUAUGAGUAACGCAUGGAGAGUGGCUGGAAGAAAAAUGUACACAGAUCAACUAUGGGGAACUCUUCUUGGAAGUGGCUUGGGAAACAAAGGCAUCUCAGGAACAACUGCAGCAACUUAAUGUUUGUUUUUUAUAUAAUACAGUUAUAAGAUGAAAUACUGCUAAAAAUGCCUUUAAUGGACCAGGGGAACAAAACAUGAGGAACCAGCACUAGUUGGCAGAGAAGACUAAAGACCUUAUACCACUCCAACUCCCAUGAUUUCAUAGCAUCAAGCCAUGACAGUUAAAGUGGUGUCAAACAGCAUUAAUUCUACAGUGUAGGUGCAUCCUUAAGUUUAAUUGGGGUCAAGAUCUCACACUGAUUUUGGUAGGUUUGCUCUAUGUUUUAUUAAGUUUGAAUCUAACCCAACAUGCAGGAACAUGGAAGACUAUUUUUAAACAAAUAAUAGUUCUGUCACUAGACUACAGAUGACAUCUUCUUUCCAUGUAUAAUGGGCAGAUUCUGGGCAGGUUGUUGGUUGGAGUUAGGGAUUAUGUAAGUUGUAAUUAUCAAUGUCACUCAUCUAAUCUUAGGAGAAUGAUGGAAUGUCUCAAUGUCGUUUUUUCUGAUGGCGGUACUGUAAAAUUUCAAUGGUGUAAUUUUAAAGAGAACCCUUUGCUCACAUUUAGUCAGAUUAUAGUAGGACAAAAAUCAGGGAGAUAAAUGAAUCAGUAAUAUGGUAAAGUAAUUUAUCAUGAAUAUGCAAAAAGCAGAACAAGUGAGGGAGGCAAUAUGGUAUCUUUCCUAGGAAUCACAUAUUUGAAAUGGUAGGAAGAAAGUUGCAUGUUAUCCUGGUCUCUUUUUAUUGUCUGAGUAUUCAAAACAAUAAUAAAUUUGUUUUGAAAAGAUUAUAUUACAUCUACUGGCUAAAGUUAGAGUAAUGGGAUGAAGUGUUCCUUAAAGUAAGAAAUAGAAAAGUUAAGCAAGACAGUGUUAAUUGGGCUGAAAAAUGUAUGUCUUUGCUGGACUGGAUCAGGUUACCUCUUUCUACCUCAUGCUUAUAAUUAAUGUAGCAAUGAAAAAGAGGAAAGGCAGGAGAGGAAAGGAAUGGAAAGAAGGAACUGAAAAUGAAAUGUAAGAUUGGCCAGCUCCUGUUUGAAAGCUCAGCUGUUGCUGAGAUAGAUAAACCGAUAUACUGAUGUGAUAGAAGGCAGUUUUCUGUAAGACCUUUGAGAGUAGAUUGUGCGUGUGUAAGGAAAAGUUCAAGAAGUUUGUGAGGGCUUAUUAAUUAAUUACUGUCAAUAAGAAAAAAAAUUCUCUCCUUACAAAAAAAUCUAGAAAUCACAAGUUAAAUUUCAAACUGUAAACACUGAAAACAGUGUAACAGAAUAAACAGAAUAAAUUGAAAUAAAGAAUAAAUACAAGCCAACAAAUCUGAGUCAAACUAUAGUCAGUGAACCCAAAAAGUUUUGGUCAUUGUCAAAGGUCAAUAGUCCAUUGAUUUUUUUUAAAAAUCAAGAAUGAUUAGAUAUAGGAUCAAGUUUGAAAAAGAAGGAUUAGCUUUUUUUUGUUUUUGUUUUGAUUAUGGACCUCAACAUUAAAUUAAAAAGCUGUAAGGGAAAAACGGAAAAAGUAUCUAUAGACAGGUCAUCAUAAUUCCAUUCAUACUUACAGAAGGUGAAAUAAGAAUGGAUUUCAAAAACUUUUCUUCCUUGGAGAUAUAUGUGGAAUUAUGUUGAUAGGGUUUGGGGAAGGGAAUUAAAACUUUAUAUCCUCCUCUCUUUAUAUUGUUCUUCCUAUCCCCCAAUAUUGCUUUCCAGACUUCUUAGACUGUUAAGAGUCUAAAUGGGGAGAUAGGGUGGGAUAUAAAUAAAGUUUUAUUAUUAUUGACACAAAGACAUAGUAUGACACAGCAAAUGAGAUAUAUAUGCUAAAUUUCAUAUCACAAAAUCACAAGUCUAUUAUUAUUUUAUUUUAUUAUGACACAGCAAACAAGAUAGAUAUGCUGGAUUUCAUAUCACAAAAUCACAAGUCAAACACUUCCCAAGUGUCUAGGACUGUGUGGUGUAUUUUCGGAUGAUGCGCGCAGAUCCCAGCAUGGUGGCCUUUUGCAGUUGGCAGAUCGUAAUUUUUUCAAUGUCUAUUGUUUCCAAAUGCCGGCUGAGAUCUUUUGGCACGGCACCCAGUGUGCCCAUCACCACCGGGACCACCUGCACUGGUUUCUGCCAGAGUCUUUGAAGUUCAAUCUUGAGGUCCUGAUAGCGGCUGAGUUUUUCCUGUUGUUUUUCGUCAAUGCGACUGUCACCUGGGAUGGUAACAUCAAUGAUCCAAACCCUUUUUUUUCCCACAACUGUGAUGUCUGGUGUGUUGUAUUUCAGAACUUUAUCAGUCUGGAUUCGGAAGUCCCACAGUAUCUUUGUGUGCUCAUUUUCCAAUACUUUUGCAGGUUUGUGAUCCCACCAGUUCUUUGCUGCUAUUAUUAUUAUUAUUAUUAUUAUUAUUAUUAUUAUUAUUAUUAUUAUUAAGUACUAUUCCAAACAAAUGUAUAAUUCUUUCCUGUGAACUUUUAAUAGAGGUAGGGUCAGUAAAAGCAGCCCGUUCUUAUAGCCUGCAACUUCAUUUAUGCCACUUCCACCCAACACACCAAGGGUCAAUUCUAGCAAAAAAUAAUAAUUUGAGUCUUGCUGUUCCUAGAGGUUUUGGUAGUGGUAGCUUUGCAGUUGCCAAGGUCAGGACCUUCUCCAACCCCUGCCCCCAGUCCCUAAGAUAAAGCAAAAAAAAAAAAGCAAAACUUGAAGUGGCUACAUGGUCACUUGUUUGUUUGUUUUUUGUUGCCUCCCUGCUUUCCUUGGAUUUACUAUAUAUAGGUUGUGCUGCCCUUAUUUUGAAAUCUGAAAUAUUCCAAAAUGGCAGAGUUAGUUAUGCAUUUGGUUCAAUGUAUACAGACUUUGUUUCACAAAAACAUUGUAAAAAUAUUGUGUAAACUUCAAGUUAUGUGUGUAAGGCAUAUAUGAAACAUAAAUAAAUGUUGUUUAGACUUGG